UCUGCAGGACUGGAGACGAGGAGCUGAGAGGCCAGACCCUGGUGAAUGGAGGGAGAGAGUAAGUCUCUGGCCCGUCCUGGACACUGAGGCUCGAUUGCUCUCUCUCUCUGUCUCUCUGCCUCUCUCUCUCUCUCUGUCUCUCUCUGUCGGCCCCCGUGGUGGUGGAAGUUAGAGUUCUUUCAGUGUUAAACCCCGGUUCCUCUCCUCCUCCUCCUCCAACCCCUCUCGACCCCCCUUUCCCCUCCCCAAUCCUCUUGCCUCCUCCUCCUCCUUUCCCUGGUCCCUCCUCCACUCAACAGUCCUGGGGCUAGCGGCCAACGGAGCCAAGAGCGAGGUGGGAAAGAGGCGUAAGGGCAGAAAAGGCUUGUUGGCGAAAUCCCCGGCCACUUCCCGGCCCAGGGUCCGAGCCCUAGGAGUCGCUGCCCUGUGGGCCCAGCUGGCGGCCAGCCUCCCCACAAGGACGACGGCAACUCUCUCUCUGCUCUGGGCGGGCCGGUAAAGGAGGAGGCAAAGCCCCUGAGUCAAGUUGAAUUCUUCAGUUUCUACUUCUUCAAUUUGGAGAUUUCAGUAUAUGCAGAUAAGGAAACAACUGAGACCAGGAAAAGUAAAGCAUCUUCCAUCAAACACAAAUUCAUCUCGACAGUUCAUGUUGGGUUAAAAGGUGUCACUGAAGUUAUUCACCCAGACUUCUUGGUUUCUGUGGGAUAUUAAUAGGCCUAGCCCUUGUAAAAAAAAAAAUCAAUCUCUGAAGGACUUGCCUGACUGAUGAGAUUGCCCUAAUCCUUGAGGAAUAUGCACCUGGAUCUUAAGUGGGACCCUACUCAACUUGGAGACCUUAUUUCUGUUUAGAGUGUAAACAGAAUCCAUUCUGGGGGAAUUCUUGAUUCAAGGAAAUAAGCCCCUGUCCUUAUGCCCUCCAUUGGAGUUUAGGGUGACCCAGUUCAUAAAGGAGAAAACUAACUAGAGUGGUCUGGAUGGAGACGGAUUCCUCUGUCCAGAUUGCUGGAGGAGGCUGAGUCUUAUGAUCAAGCCACAUUCUCAGCAGGAGGGGCUGAAGACUUUUUAGCCCACCUCCUCAUUAAAUGUCCAACCAUUAGGGUUGAUUUCCACUUGUCAGGGGCAUUCCCUUUAAAAAAAAUAUUUAAGGCUUUCAGGUUCCCCAUGUUUUUGUAUUUGGUUUUCUGAGAGAAA